AGGAUGGUGCCGCUACUGCUGCUGCUGCUGGGACUCUCUGGCCCCCUGCGGGCUCAGAUCUCUCCUCCAACGAUUCUCAUCAACCUGGACGAUGAUCCGGAGCUGCGAUGGUUGCCUCUCAAAAAAGUCUUUGAUCCAGACUACUUGAGCAAAGCAGCGGCUGAAAUUAUCGAAUCAACAGUUCCAAAAUGGGUCCAUCAAGCAGUCAUCCCUAUUGUGACAUCUCUGGAACAAUAUGUUCCUCAGCCAUACGCUGGAGAAAUCCACGGUCUGCGCUCUGUCCUCGGAGGAAACCUGUCAGACGCCAUCCUCCUUAACUUUGCCUAUGAGUUAACGGCAUUUUGCACCAGCAUCGUGGCUCAAGAUAAAAAUGGUAACAUCUACCAUGGGAGGAAUCUGGACUAUCCCCAUGCUGUUCUGAGGAAUAUGACUGUGAAUUUACACUUUCAGAAGAACGGGAAGGUGGCCUACACUGGAACAUCAUUUGCUGGUUAUGUUGGCUUGUGGACAGGAAUGAGUCCCGGGAAGUUCACAGUGUCUGGUGACCAGCGAGGAACUAAGCACUGGUGGAACUGGUGGAAGAACUUUGUGUCCGCAGUCCUGUUUCACAGAUCCCCAGACAGCUGGCUUGUGAGGGAGACCCUGGAGGAAGCAGAGGACUUUCAGGAUGCAGUCAUGCGUCUGUCUAAAACCCCCCUUAUCGCUGGGGUGUAUUACAUCGUUGGUGGGGUGAGAGCAGGGGAGGGGGUCGUCAUCACCAGAGAUAGAAAGGGCCCAGCUGACAUCUGGCCCCUGGACCCAUUAACUGGAGGAUGGUUCAGAGUGGAGACGAACUUUGACCACUGGCUUCCUACUCCUGCAAAAGACCAUCGAAGGGAAACAGCAAAUAAGGCACUCAAUGCUACCGGUCAAGAUCACAUGAAUAUGGGUCAGUUGUAUCAGGUAGGUGACGUCAGCUCUGUCUCUACAUUGCUCUACAAAAAGAAUUCAUAUAUUAAACUUUUUCACACAUCAUCACCUUAACCCUCUCAGGCUCAAAUUAAGUUGUAGUUGCAGGAAUAAUCUGAUAUUUGGAGAAAAUGAUCAUAUGGGGUAGUAAUAUACAAUUCAGGCUUUUUUUGAGAGAGACCUUCAUAUGCAAUGAAUUCAGAUUUGCAACAGUGUCCUGGAGUGGUAAAUUAACAUUGAUGACUGAGUCUGAUAUGAACGUUAACUUUAGUUUGAAUGUCACAAACAAAAAAUGAACAAAACAAAAUUCGAAAAAAAAAUUCUCUCACAAAAUUAGAGACAACUUUUUGUUCAAACUUUUUCUCCACCGACAUCUCAAAACCUCUUGAGAAGGCCGUUUUUGUUAAACUGUUGCUCAAAAUAAAGGCAAACUAGAAGAUAAAGCAUGUAGCAUCCAUUGGUACCUGUUUGGGCACACGUUGCAAAUCCACAACAUUGAAAUCGAGAUGCCUCAGGUGAAAAACCAGAGGAGAUAAAAUCUACUAAUUGGCAUGUGUCAUAUCUAUACACAUUCAUGAUUCAUCUUAUGUAGUAUUGAUUUCAAAAUAAUGGAAAUUGGUAGUGAUACUUACAUGAAACUGGUGCUUAGAAAAUCUGUUUCAGUGACACCAAGGACUCAGCCAUGUUGAAAGUGAGUGAGCAGUGCUGUCUGGUGAGCUGGAGAGAAACUGUUUGUUGCAAAUGCACAACUAAGUCCUUCUGUUGUACUUCUGAGUAACGAAAGCUCUUAAAAUAUGGAUGUGGAGUAAUUAGUUAGUGGCAUUUAGCUGUUGCAAAUCUGCAACAUCUGGCUGGAGGGGGUUAAAACCACACAUUUUUAUGUGUUUUAUUUGGAUUUUAAGUCAUAAUAGAUUCUUCUUAUUCUGCACCAGUCUCAUUUUUUAGCCAUCUGAUUUAAAAAUUUGAUUUUGAAAUAAAGGUAAAGUCAAUAGUAAGGAGGUUUUAGGUUUAGUUGAUACUGGUUUUAUUAAGAGUGUCUGAAUAUUUCUAAUAUAAACAGAUUGUAAAGGUCUGAGUCUUUCCCUGCAGGUUUUGUCCAUGCCUCCCGUCUGUAACGAAAUCACUGUUUAUACUACAGUUAUGAGUGCAGCAUCUCCUGAGAAUUACACCACAUAUAUCCGACCAAAGGACUGCAACUGAGCUGGCUGGGAAGGACCAAAAGGCUUUAUCCUACUGAUCAUUCCAACUUCAUGACAUGAUGACAUGAUCUGAUCAAUUUUAACAUUUAUUUUUAGGAUGAAACUGACUUUUAAUGAAAGAAGAUAUAGUAUAUUACUGUUCUUGCCUUAACCAAUCAGCUUACAAUGUUUAAUUGUUUGAGUUCUACUUGGUUGAAAGCAGGAAAAGAGGAAAACGCUUCAUGUUUUCAUCAUUCCCUCAUCUGUUAAGCUGAACAUGGAAUAAAACCCUCUUGCUUUUAUUUUAGCCUUUUCAACCAAAGCACCCCUGGACCCCAUCGUAGUAGCAUUUUGAUAUCAGGUUCAUAUCAACAUUAUUAUCGAUUACUUUUUAAAUUGAUAAUAAAGCUUUAUUUCAUACCAUUUAAUGUUAUAUAAGCUUAAAUUAUACUGAAAAUAUUUUACUGUUGAUAGCAAGAAGACCAUUCCACCACCGUGUUGCAUCGUGUGCUGAAGCACAUGAAAGAAAAGGAGAAGUUUUUUUUUUUUUUUUUUUAAACCUUGCUUUACUUAAUGCUGCUCAUGGAUCCAAAUUUUUAAAUUAUUUAGCUGAACUCAAAUAUUUAGAAAAUGUGUUUCUAUAUUUUAACAUUGAUUUGUUUUAUUCUCUUAAUGGAUGGAGCUGGAGGUAUUUGGACUUUAUGGACAUUUCUCCUGGUAAUUAAUGGGAUAAAUUAACUUGCAUCGCCUCCACUGCAGCAACCAGAUGUGCAAUAUUCUUUUAAAACAUAAAACCCAAACAUUUAUUUCAGUCUGUAGUCCAGCUGGACUUCUGUUGAUGAUGCCACUGCAAUGUAUGUAUGACGUCAUCAUAUAAAGCACUUUGAAUUGUCAUUUUGCCAAAAUGUGCCUUACAAGGAAACUAGCUUUGCUGUACACUGAUUUACAUUAAAGGAAAUGAACCAAA